rnacentral:lncRNA from 1 species
CAGCUAUGCGAUCGACCAGUGACGCAAAGAUAUCUCGCUUCUUUCUACCAAAGUGCUCCAGGAGACCUAGAUACUUUCCAAUGCCACCGUCAUUCAGAGAAAGGAAAGCAAACGAAUCGAGAGACACUUCAGAUAGAUAGACCUUCACCGUCUUUCGGAGGUACCAGAGUGAGAUGGAGCAGGAAAGAUUCAAAGUGUUGAGAGUUAACGAACAACUGCCAAGGAGCCACCACCUCUCAAGUUGCUCGCUUUACCUCACGUCGUAGCUAAAUCGAGGCACCAUCAGCAGCUACAUAUCUCGACCCAAGACACGCCUCCAAGACAAAGAAGACUUCUAGAGCUCACUAAACACUGAGAGUAGUAACCGGAAACUCCGCGGAGGGACAAAAUAACCACCUCUGUAGCCGGACGACACCACCAUUUGGAAGCGUAGAAUCUUAACUUCACCGCA